AUGAUGGCGAAUCGACCUCUAAAUCACAAUACAACGCUGAAAAAAAGAAGCGGAAACAAUACCUCACGAUGCUUACUUCAAGACGGUGGCGACGGAGAGGUGUUUGAGAUUCACACAAGCAGGUUGAAGUGUGGAAGAGAGAGUGAACCUUCAAGAUGGAACCUCCAUGAGAUAGUUGAAAGGGGCUCAUUUUGCGAGGACCGGCUUCAACUGGCCUUCCCUGAACUUGUUUAUCAGAUGAACUGCAGUUUGGUUAUCACUAGCAUGCUAGGAUAA